GUUUUAAUAGUUUAACAAAAACAUUGGUCUUGUAAAUCAAAAAUAAAGAAUUACUUUUUAAAACU
rnacentral:tRNA from 1 species